UACGGAGGAUGCGAGCGUUAUCCGGAUUUAUUGGGUUUAAAGGGUGCGUAGGCGGAUCGCUAAGUCAGUGGUCAAAUUGAGGGGCUCAACCCCUUCCCGCCAUUGAAACUGGCGACCUUGAGUGGAAGAGAAGUAUGCGGAAUGCGUGGUGUAGCGGUGAAAUGCAUAGAUAUCACGCAGAACCCCGAUUGCGAAGGCAGCAUGCCGGCUUCCGACUGACGCUGAAGCACGAAAGCGUGGGGAUCGAACAGG
rnacentral:rRNA from 1 species